rnacentral:rRNA from 1 species
GACGAACCGUGCGAACGUUAUUCGGAAUCACUGGGCUUAAAGCGCGUGUAGGCGGGCCAGCACGUCGGGCGCUGAAAUCCCCCGGCUCAACCGGGGAACGGGCACCGAUACGACUGGCCUGGAGGGGAGUAGGGGGACCUGGAACUUCCGGUGGAGCGGUGAAAUGCGUUGAGAUCGGAAGGAACGCCCGUGGCGAAAGCGCGUCCCUGGACCCCACCUGACACUGAGACGCGAAAGCCAGGGGAGCGAACGGG